rnacentral:rRNA from 1 species
AGAGUUUGAUCAUGGCUCAGGAUGAACGCUGACAGAAUGCUUAACACAUGCAAGUCUACUUGAUCCUUCGGGUGAUGGUGGCGGACGGGUGAGUAACGCGUAAAGAACUUGCCCUGCAGUCUGGGACAACAUUUGGAAACGAAUGCUAAUACCGGAUAUUAUGUGAGUUUCGCAUGAAAUUCAUAUGAAAGCUAUAUGCGCUGCAGGAGAGCUUUGCGUCCUAUUAGCUAGUUGGUGAGGUAACGGCUCACCAAGGCCAUGAUAGGUAGCCGGCCUGAGAGGGUGAACGGCCACAAGGGGACUGAGACACGGCCCUUACUCCUACGGGAGGCAGCAGUGGGGAAUAUUGGACAAUGGACCAUAAGUCUGAUCCAGCAAUUCUGUGUGCACGAUGAAGUUUUUCGGAAUGUAAAGUGCUUUCAGUUGGGACGAAGUAAGUGACGGUACCAACAGAAGAAGCGACGGCUAAAUACGUGCCAGCAGCCGCGGUAAUACGUAUGUCGCAAGCGUUAUCCGGAUUUAUUGGGCGUAAAGCGCGUCUAGGCGGUUUGGUAAGUCUGAUGUGAAAAUGCGGGGCUCAACUCCGUAUUGCGUUGGAAACUGCCAAACUAGAGUACUGGAGAGGUGGGCGGAACUACAAGUGUAGAGGUGAAAUUCGUAGAUAUUUGUAGGAAUGCCGAUGGGGAAGCCAGCCCACUGGACAGAUACUGACGCUAAAGCGCGAAAGCGUGGGUAGCAAACAGGAUUAGAUACCCUGGUAGU